AUAUCUUUCUCGGCCUUUUGACUAAGAUCAAGUGUAGUAUUUGUUCUUAUCAGUUUAAUAUCUGAUACGUGGACCAUGUGUCCACAAUGAUAUUAAAUUUAUUUUUUAUGAAAAAGGGUCCAUCAUAAUGGCUUGCCAUUGGGACAAGCCAUUGGGACCCUUGGUUGCCCAGUGCGUUGCAUUAUUGCCUGGGCAGGUGCACC